rnacentral:rRNA from 1 species
GACGAACGCUGGCGGCGUGCUUAACACAUGCAAGUCGAACGGAAAGGCCCUGCUUUUGUGGGGUGCUCGAGUGGCGAACGGGUGAGUAACACGUGAGUAACCUGCCCUUGACUUUGGGAUAACUUCAGGAAACUGGGGCUAAUACCGGAUAUGAGCUCCUGCUGCAUGGUGGGGGUUGGAAAGUUUCGGCGGUUGGGGAUGGACUCGCGGCUUAUCAGCUUGGUGGUGGGGUAGUGGCUUACCAAGGCUUUGACGGGUAGCCGGCCUGAGAGGGUGACCGGCCACAUUGGGACUGAGAUACGGCCCAGACUCCUACGGGAGGCAGCAGUGGGGAAUAUUGCACAAUGGGCGGAAGCCUGAUGCAGCAACGCCGCGUGCGGGAUGACGGCCUUCGGGUUGUAAACCGCCUUCGCCUGUGACGAAGCGUGAGUGACGGUAAUGGGUAAAGAAGCACCGGCUAACUACGUG